CUCUCUCUGUCUCCUCUCUCCCUCCUCUCUCUCUCUGUGUUCCAGUGAGCGUUUUUCAGAACCGAAUCACUUCCCCGUUCAGAACCUCCCCGUCGGAUCCUCCAAAGGAGAUCGUUCUUCAGAACACAGUCACUUUUCCAUCGGAUCCUCUAAAGGAAUUGAUGAUCAUGCUUCAUCUAUAUCACUGGCCCAACUUUCAAAGUCUGAAGGAGACGCACACUUGCUGCUGCUGCUUACACUCGUACGUUACACACACACUCGUACGUCACACACACACACACACACACACUCGUUCGUCACACACACACACUCGAACGUCACACACACACACUCGUACGUUACACACACACACUC